rnacentral:lncRNA from 1 species
AUGAAACUGCUCAAAAUUGUUGUUGAUGAGGAAUGUGUGCAAGAGUACGGAGAAAUUGAUGAAGGUUUUGAGGUGUGUCGAGUUAGCUUUAUGUUAUGGUAUGAAGUUGAUGAGCUGGCAUCGGUUAUGGUAGUUAUAGGGUGGUUAAGAAGUUUUGGUUGUAACUGUUUUGGGUUUGGAAGUGGAGAAGUUGCAAAGGCACAGUUAAGCCAUGAAGUAAUAAGCAUGAAGAUUGGUCGUGGAAUUAGAAGAAUGAGAGUGAAGAUGGAUAAGUUUUGCAUAGGUUUAAGAAGGGUUAACAAGUAG